rnacentral:rRNA from 1 species
CGCAUCUGUGCAUGCAGCAUAUCAAUAAGCGGAGGAAAAGAAACUAACAAGGAUUCCCCUAGUAACGGCGAGUGAAGCGGGAAGAGCUCAAAUUUGAAAUCUUAAAGGGUUUCCCUUUACGAAUUGUAGUUUAAAGAAGUGUUUUCUGUUGAGGUUUUGGUAAAAGUUCUUUGGAAUAGGACAUCAUAGAGGGUGAGAAUCCCGUAUUUGACCUUUACUUUCAACUGUGUGAUACACUUUCAAAGAGUCGGAUUGUUUGGGAAUGCAGUCCAAAAUGGGUGGUAAAUUUCAUCUAAAGCUAAAUAUUGGCGAGAGACCGAUAGCGAACAAGUACCGUGAGGGAAAGAUGAAAAGAACCUUGAAAAGAGAGUUAAACAGUACGUGAAAUUGUCAAAAGGGAAGCGUUUGACACCAGUGUUGUUUUUCUGAAAAUCAAUUAAAGAACUGUUUAUGCUAAGCUGUUUAGACUUUAUCAGCUAACUGUUUAGUUUUGAGCUUUUCUUUAAUGCACUUUUCAGUUAACAAGUCAACAUCAAUUUCUUUUGCUGUAAAAAAGCUUGAGGAAGGUGGCUUGAGAUUCGUCUUAAGUGUUUAUAGCCUCUUGCCUAUGCAGUCGGAGAGAUCGAGGUCUGCAGCGUAGAUCCUUCGGGGCUAAAUGCAUUUGUGCUAAGUUAUAGCACUUUAUAGACAACUUGUUGACUAUGAUUUGUCUAGUAGCUUACUCGCUUAUGUUAUUUUACCUACGCUUAGGAUGUUGAGUCAUCACACAUCUCU